UAUUAAUUUUUUUUUUUUUUUUUUUUUUUUUUUCAUCCUUUUUUAAGUAGAAUAGUCGUUUUAGUAAAAUUAAAAACAUAAAACCUUUCCAGUUUUAUUUAUUCCCAAGUUCUGCAAAAAAUAUAUUAUUACAACCCUUUGAAAAUGGACAAAUAAAAAAUUAUUUUUUUUUUCGUUUGCUAUCACGUAUAUGUGUUAGUAUCAGUCAGUCUUUUUCAAUAAAUGCCAGAAUUUGUUUGUAUAAAAAAAAAAAUAUGAACAGUUCAUCUUUAACACAAGUAUUAAUAAAUAAUGAAAUAUUAAUAAAGGUAUUAAAAAUCUGUUGGCUAUUUAAAUUAAGUCGUUUGGUUGAUAAUAAUAUAAGGCUAUGUAGGUACUUGUCAAGUUUGUUUCACAUUAUUAGCAUAUAUAUAGAUAUAUUUUUAGCGUUCGAUUACUCAAACUCAUAUUUAAAUAAGUAUAUAAAUAAUCUAUAUGUUUACUAUAUACUAUAUUCUACAUCAUCUAUAUUAAAAAAUUUAAGCAUUAUGACAUACGCGUCUAUUAAACCUAGUAUUAAUCUGCGCGUGAGCGAAUCGUUGUCAAAAGGCGUGACAGCUGGAAAGGUAUCCAAAAACCAUGUAACUGAUAAGAAAAAUAACAACAAAGUAAUUAGUGAUAUACCUAUUAACGAAACAAGCAGUUUAUUCAAAACCAACACAGGUGACGAAAAUGCAUCAUCCUUUGUUAAUAAACUUAAUAAAAUUCAUGAAAAAAAAAAUAUAUCUGAUAACAAAACAAAUACUGAUAAUAUAAAAGAAACUAAUUUAUCAUUUCUUAAAGGCCUAAAAAAUCUUGAAUUCAUUACUAAUAAAUUAAAAAAAAAUGAAAAAAAAAAAAAUUACAAAAUUAGUAAUAAUAUUAGUAAUACUGCUAAUAAUAAAGAGAAUAAUAGUAGCAAAACUUAUCCACAAACAAAAAUUGUUACUAUAGGAGAGGUAAGUGUAACAUCAGAAUUACUUUCCACCGCAGUUGAUUUUUUAACGGUUAUUUUAUCUUCACAUGUAACGAAACUAAUAAAACAAAAGUUAUGUUUCUACAUUUUUAUAUCAUCUCUACAUAUUUUCUGUUCAUAUAAAG
rnacentral:lncRNA from 1 species